GACGGUGGUCAUGGAAGUAGGAACCCGCUAAGGAAUGUGUAACAACUCAC
rnacentral:rRNA from 1 species